AUUUUCACAAAAAGAAUUAGCCUUCCUUCUCAUCUGCGUUUCGACACGGUUUCGUCUCUCGCAUCGCAUACAGCCCGCCUUACUCUGCCCUGCAUUUUUCCUUUUUUAACUUUCGCAACAGGAAAACCCGCUAAGCAGCAAUGCCGCCACGUCCGUCUCGUGAUGAGUACCGCCGCGUCCGCGAGGGCCGCGAGAAUCGCGACCGCCCCGAGGGUGCUGAGAACGAGGUGCGUGUGACUGCUACCCAUGGCCAGCACAGCUACAUCUCGUACGUCAUCGCCGUGCUGAACGGUGAAGAUGGCAAGACGCGCAACGACACGGUAAAGAUCAGCGGUAUGGGCGGCGCCAUCUACAACGCCGUCAACAUCGCCGAAAUUGUGAAGCGCCGCAUUUCUGGCCUGCACCAGGUCACUGAGCUGGGCUCUGAGCUGGUUCGCGACGAGUACGAGCCGAUCGACCGCACCCGGAACCCUGAGAACGUCGUGGUGGAGCGCAAGGUGUCCACAAUCCUCAUCACGUUGUCCCGUAACUGUUUGGACAAGUCCAACCCUGGUUACCAGGAGCCGAUUCCGGAUAGCGAGGUGACGGAGCAGGAGAGGCGCGACCCCAAUAUGAGCCGUCGCGGCGGUCGUGGUGGCAGCCGUGGUGGUCGUGGUGGCAGCCGUGGUGGCCGUGGUGGCAGCCGUGGUGGUCGUGGCGGAAGCCGUGGUGGCCGCGGGGUAGCGGCCAUCGAUCGCCGCGAUGACCGCGAGAACUAGAAACGCGGGGAAAGUAAAUAGCGGGAAUGGGGGGGGGCUGGCUAUUUGCCGGCGCGCACCUGGGUGGUGCGUGAGUGUCCCUGCCAGCUUUAGGGCCGUCCAUGCCUGCCUCCACAUCCCUGCCCUUGCAGCCGCACCAUCUUUGUGUGUGUGGGGUUUUCAUGGUGUGAGUCCUCAGAUAGGUGAUGCUGUGGGCGGGCACUACACGAAAAGAAAAGCCAUACCGAAGCAAAAUCACACAGACGCGAGGCUCAAGAAUGAUAUAGAUGAUGAGGUGUAUUAGCGCGCUUGUUUUGUGCGGUUUCCUUUUUUUUUUCACACACACAUACCGUAGUUGUACCACUCCCCUUCGUACCUCACCCACUUUGCCUUUCUUUGUUUUCGGUUUGCUGGUGUUCGUGGCCAUUGCACCGCAGUGCUCCGGCUUGCGGUGUGGUGAUCGCAGCAGCGCCUAGCUGGAUCUACUUGUAUCUAUCUUGCUUCCGUAUCAAUGUGUGUCUUGGCGUGUGCAGGCGCAAGCCACCCCAAACGAGGCGAAAUUAGUGCGGAAUCCAAGAUGACGGAAAGAAAAAGUAGGGAUGAUUCCGCGUGGGGUUUACGGCAUGCGCGCGAGCGACAAGAGAGAAAAAAAACGAGGGAAUGGGGGCAGAGGAGUGGGCGGGGGAGGGGGCCGAAGGAGCAAAGGGGGAAAAAGCCCGCUUGUUUUUUCCCCUGCCUCUGCCCCCCGCCCCCUUCUCUGCCUCUCCGACUUCGCCAUCACCGUGCGCGUUUUUUUCUCCCUCUCCUGCGCAUAUCUGUUGUUUCUUUUGAUGUGUUUUGUUGCGGCUUGGUUCUUUUUUUUCGUUCUUUCUUGGUGUCUUGACGAUUUUUUCCUCUUCGAUUUUUUUUUUGUGAUGUUGAGGGGAAUGGGUGACGACCCUCUUCGUGUAGUGGUUCGACUGUCUUCCUCCACAGUCGCUGUGCAGUUCGUUUUUUUUUUCUGUAGUAUGCACAAAUGCGUAUGUGGAGCCCGGUGAAGGCUUCACACUUUCAGAAUCAAGCAUAUACACACGCACACACCAUGAGCAACGUGACGUCGUUCACCCUCUACCCUCUUUUCUAUUCUCUUUUCCUUUUCUGUGUUUGGUUGUUUCUUCUCUCCCUCUUUUCGUUUUUCUCUUCUCUCGUCAGACAACGGUGAAGAAAACACACACACAAAGAAAAUAAAAAAGAGGAACAAGCUGUACGUGUAUCUUUUCAAAGUCCCCGAAACCCCUGUACGCCCCGGCGAUAGUAACUAAAGCAAACAUGAACAAAAAAAAAGAGGGCAGACCAACCUCUUUUUUCUCUCCUCUCCUCUCCUCUCCUCUUCUUUUCCCGUCGGUGUCUCCUUGCCAUGCUUGCUGUGCCAUUUCGAGGUGAUGUUCCCUCCACGUUUUUCGUUGCCAUGCGUGCCCUUCUCUCUUUGCUUUUUCGAUGAGCCACAAGAAAAAAAAACGCGUGUGAAAGAGACGCGAGAUGGGCGAGCAAGCGGCUGACAGAGGGAAUGGCCACAAACCAAUUUUUUUUUCUGUUUACCGGGUAGGGGAGAAGGUCGAAAAGAAGACGAAGAGGAGAGGUGCCUCGCUCUCGAUUCUGGAGAGGGCGUUCAAUAUAUAGAGGCUGGCGAAACGGAAGAGAGAGAGCGAAGGGCGAAAAGAGGGAGGGCGAAAACUGAUGUCUUGUGACAAAGCCCCCGAAAACCCCAAAUAUAAAGAACAACAACAGCAAACAAGAAGAGAGUCGAUCUCUCUCCCAUCACUCGCGAACGGACAUGGACGUAAAUUCACACCAUCGCUCUUCCACCAUCAGCCCCCUCCCCCCAUCCAUCGACCACUUACUCAAGAGUGAAGCUAGCAAAGAACCAGAACUUCUCUGCCCCGCCCCCUUUUUUCCUUUUUCCCCGACGCCAUCCGUACAGACGGGAUUGUGUUUUGUUCUCUUUCUCUCCGCCCUGUUUAAUGAAGAACUUUUUUCCCCUCUUUUCUUUUCUCUCUCCCCGUUCAUUUAGGUCUCCUUUCCUCUGAACUAUUACGAGCCACCACCACCAGCACCAGCACCACUGUUACCUCUCUUUAAUUUGACUCGUCUCUAUCCAUCGGCCCAUCUCUUGCCAUUCUCUUUGUUUCUUUCUUUUCGUUUUUUUUUGUUGUUCUCUCGGGCGUGUGCCGUGAACCUGUUCAUCGUCUGCUCCUUAAAGCUUGUCUGCAUGUCUCACGCAGCAUGUGAAGGCGACGAGGCACUAAUGUGAGGAGACAGCGGGCCGUCGCGCCCUACAUAACAAAAAAAAACAAAAGAAAAUCAGACAUAAAAAGAGAUGCGACGAAGACGAAGAGGAAAAAGAAAACGCAAGAAAAAAGAAAAAAAAGAGGAAAAGAAGGCGAGGAAAGAAAAGAACAAAAACAGAAAUGCAGCCACCCAACCACCCACCCACACACACACACACACGUCCCACACGGGCACAUACACGCGCGCGCCCUAUUUUGUUUGAUGCUCGUUUUACAAAGAAGAAAGAAAAAAAAACACCAUCUCACACAUGCAGAGAAAAACAAAAAACAAGCAGACCAAGAGUACACGUGGAAGAGGGGGAGGGGUAGACGACGCGCGCGAAAAUAAACGAAAGAGGAGCAUAACGGAGAAUAAUAUAUAUAUAUGAUGAGUGCGUGCGUGCGUGCGUGUGUGUGUGGCUGUCUCUCCCGCACUUCGCCGUUUGUUAGCUCGACUGAGUUUUCCUUUUUUACCCCUUUCUCUCUCGAUCUCUUUCUUCUUUCUUGUACAUGGGAGGUGUAGGAUGGAUGAUACGGCACACAUAUACAGCGGCGAGAGUGACAUUGGCUGAAGCUGCUCGGGAGCACGAGGAAAGAAUCCGUUUUUCUUUCGUUGCUUCUCCUUUACUCCGCGUCCCGUUUACGUUCAGUACCCAAACUCGCACUAUCAUUUUUCACUCACUUCCCCGGCUUGCCCUUUACGCCUUGUUUCUCACUGUGUUCGUCGGCGUUCUUGGUGCCUCCCUCUGUUUUUUCUUCGGUUUUUCGGUUCGGGUUCUUUCUGCCUACCGUGCCCACUGCUGGUGCUGCCUCUUUUUCUUUCUCCUUCGCUCCUCCAUAUCCAUUCACGCUUUCGUUUCUCUUCACUGAUGCAAGCACACAACGUGUGCUUUUCAUCGCUAAGACGAGUGCAAGGGAUAACCGUGACGGCUGGACAUGGGCGGGAGGAAAGGGCGAGCAUGACGCAGACACCAAGAGAACGAAAGAGGAAAGGAAAAGAACGACAAAAGCAGAGGGCAUUGCUAGGGUUCUCGAACACUAUAGCAAACCUGAAAGCACUGUCUCCUCCGCUGCCGCAGCGACAAGAAGACACGCAAAAUCUCAAAAUAUUUUGCGCUUUUUCCCCCGUUUGUUGGAGUUCUUCAAGCGUGAUUGACGACGACCAAAAAACAGGAAGGAACGAGGAAAAGACGGAAUGUACGAAUUUGUUUUUAUUUUUGCUGUAGGGAAAAGAUCAAACCAUACACGGAAGAAGAAACGGAGAUACAAAAAGAGAGAAGCUCCUCCCCUUCCCUCCGCCCUCCCACAAAAAAAAGAAACAGUAAAUGCCAUAUACCGCAAAAAAAUGGAGAGGGAAGAAGAAUAUGAUGCACUGAAGAAAACAAAAUCACGCCAACCCAUCUUCUUCCCCUCCUCCCUGUCCACCAGGAGAAAAAAGCGAAAUACGAAAAAAAAACCGCACACCCACAAGAACACAUGCGCAGGCAGAUCCUCAAGCUCGACGUUUUCGAUCAAGGGAAAUGCGUUGUUCAUGAGCGGCUUUCGCAGUGACAAUGACAGUGAAGAAAGAAGAUGAGGCUCAAUAUGGUCAGAGAACAAGUGAAAGCACAGAAGGACCACUGCACAACUGAAAAAAAAAGGAGGAGGAUGGGGGGAGGUUUCUCCCCCCUCCCUCCAUCCGCACAGAGAGAAGUCCGGUGCCCGGUGAAGCGAAAGCAACAAAAAAAAGGGAUGUGACAUGCUCCUUUUUCCUUUUCCCCUUUUCGCGCUUUUACUUUGUGUUUAAUUUUUUUUUCAUUCUCUUGUGCGUUGCUCUUCUUUUUGGCUGCUGCUACCAGUGCGAUUUUAUUUUUUUUCUUUCCACUUUUGUUUCUCUUUCGUUAUCUUUCUUUUUUUCGUGUGUUCGGGUGAUGCAGCUGUGUUGUCGUCUCUGUUGGAACUGCUGUUGUGUGCGCGCGUGCUUUUUCUUCGUCCUACUGUCUGAAUCCAUCCCCCUUCCCCAUGCAACGCCCUCUACCCUCUUCGUGCCGUCAAUAUUAUGGUUCCUUGUUCGCUCUUGUGUUUUUUUUUUCUCUUCGCUCUCUUUUCUUUUUUUGCUAAAUCGCUCACUAAAAAAAAUGACGUGAAGCUCUGUGUGUUCGGUCGCACGGUUUUGUGGCUACUGGGACAUCG
rnacentral:misc_RNA from 1 species